AUGGAAUCAUGUGAAAUAGUUCCAUCACAUGGCCAGUUAAUGACCACAUGUUGCGAAUCUAACGAAACAGAGGGAGAGUAUAUCACGAUUUUCUUCUCAUUUUCUUUUCAUUUUCACCAAGCUUUCUCUCUCUUCUUCUUAAACUCCCUAUCUUUCUCCUAUCUCUCUCCGCCUCCCAAUCUACCCGACCACCACCAAACCCUCCAAAAUAAAUCCCUAACCCAUAACAACCAUAAAAGACGACAACCAUAA